GAGCCUGAGAACGGCUACUACAUCUACGGAAGGCAGCAGGCGCGUAAUUACCCAAUCCUGACUCAGGGAGGUGGUGACAAGAUAUAACAACGCAAUUUCAUUGUGAUUGUAGUGAGGGUAUUCCAAAGCGAACCACUAGUACGAUUAGAGGGCAAGUCUGGUGCCAGCAGCCGCGGUAAUUCCAGCUCUAAUAGCGUAUAUUAAAGUUGCUGCAGUUAAAAGCUCGUAGUUGGAUUUCAAGGAUUGUGUACUCUUUCAUGUUAUUCAUCUUUCUAGUCUUUGACUUGUUACUGUGAGAAAAUUAGAGUGUUAAAGCAAGCUUUUGCAGAUACAUUAGCAUGGAAUACGAAUGAGUCUAGAUCUAGUUAUUCUAGACCGACAAAAGAGACAGAGGGGGCAGAGAUAUUGCAGAGGUGAAUUCUUGGAUUGUCAACGACUUUCUGUAUGCUAUAGCAUUUGCAAGGAUGGUUUCAUUAUCAGACGACCACUCCGCGCAUCCAAGACAUCAGAUACUGUCGUAGUCUAUCUAUAACUACGCCGACUAGGGAUUGGAUGCAUUUACAUUUCAGUACUUAUGAGAAUCAAGUCUUGGUCUGGGGGGUUGUCCCAGACUGAACUUAAGAAUUGACGGAGGCCCGAGGACCGCGCUAUGACUCACCGGGACUACAGUCACUGAGAUGCAUGAGCUCUGAUCUGGGGGCAUGCGUCUAUGGGAGAUUGCGUAUCGACAGACCUACGUCAGUCACUUAGUGUUCC
rnacentral:rRNA from 1 species